GACGAACGCUGGCGGCGUGCUUAACACAUGCAAGUCGAACGAAGAGCGAUGGAAGCUUGCUUCUAUCAAUCUUAGUGGCGAACGGGUGAGUAACGCGUAAUCAACCUGCCCUUCAGAGGGGGACAACAGUUGGAAACGACUGCUAAUACCGCAUACGAUCUAACCUCGGCAUCGAGGAUAGAUGAAAGGUGGCCUCUACAUGUAAGCUAUCACUGAAGGAGGGGAUUGCGUCUGAUUAGCUAGUUGGAGGGGUAACGGCCCACCAAGGCGAUGAUCAGUAGCCGGUCUGAGAGGAUGAACGGCCACAUUGGGACUGAGACACGGCCCAGACUCCUACGGGAGGCAGCAGUGGGGAAUCUUCCGCAAUGGACGAAAGUCUGACGGAGCAACGCCGCGUGAGUGAUGACGGCCUUCGGGUUGUAAAGCUCGGUUAAUCGGGACGAAAGGCCUUCUUGCGAAUAGUGAGAAGGAUUGACGGUACCGGAAUAGAAAGCCACGGCUAACUACGUG
rnacentral:rRNA from 1 species